AACGAACGCUGGCGGCAUGCCUAACACAUGCAAGUCGAACGAGAUCUUCGGGUCUAGUGGCGCACGGGUGCGUAACGCGUGGGAAUCUGCCCAUUGGUUCGGAAUAACAGUUGGAAACGACUGCUAAUACCGGAUGAUGACGAAAGUCCAAAGAUUUAUCGCCAGAGGAUGAGCCCGCGUAGGAUUAGCUAGUUGGUGUGGUAAAGGCGCACCAAGGCGACGAUCCUUAGCUGGUCUGAGAGGAUGAUCAGCCACACUGGGGCUGAGACACGGCCCAGACUCCUACGGGAGGCAGCAGUGGGGAAUAUUGGACAAUGGGCGAAAGCCUGAUCCAGCAAGGCCGCGUGAGUGAUGAAGGCCUUAGGGUUGUAAAGCUCUUUUACCCGGGAUGAUAAUGACAGUACCGGGAGAAUAAGCUCCGGCUAACUCCGUGCCAGCCGCCGCAGUAA
rnacentral:rRNA from 1 species